UUUGCAAUUGGAGCAGUGGAA
rnacentral:piRNA from 1 species